UACGUAGGUGGCAAGCGUUAUCCGGAUUUAUUGGGCGUAAAGGGAACGCAGGCGGUCUUUUAAGUCUGAUGUGAAAGCCUUCGGCUUAACCGGAGUAGUGCAUUGGAAACUGGGAGACUUGAGUGCAGAAUAGGAGAGUGGAACUCCAUGUGUAGCGGUGAAAUGCGUAGAUAUAUGGAAGAACACCAGUGGCGAAAGCGGCUCUCUGGUCUGUAACUGACGCUGAGGUUCGAAAGCGUGGGUAGCAAACAGG
rnacentral:rRNA from 1 species